AUGAGUUGGCGAGGAAGAUGAUAUAGACCAAGACGAUGUUUACGACUUGCUCAGCUGAUUGGGCCUAUGCUUGAGCCCAGUGUGCCAGAGCCUCAACAAGAAGAACCACCAGCUUAAAGUUGGGAUCGUACACCUGGUCAGAAGACAGAAGAAGAUCAGGGUGCAGCUGAGAUUCAAGUGCCUGACCUGGAAGCUGAUCUCCAGGAGCUGUCUCAGUCAAAGACUGGGGAUGAAUGCGGAGAUGGUCCUGAUGUCCAGGGGAAGAUUCUGACAAAGUCAGAGCAAUUUAAAAUGCCAGAAGGAG
rnacentral:lncRNA from 1 species